rnacentral:rRNA from 1 species
UACGAAGGGGGCGAGCGUUGUUCGGAUUUACUGGGCGUAAAGGGCGCGCAGGCGGCUCAUUUUGUCAGGCGUGAAAGCCCCGGGCUUAACCUGGGAACUGCGUUUGAUACGGUGUGGCUAGAGUUCGGGAGAGGAGAGUGGAAUUCCCAGUGUAGAGGUGAAAUUCGUAGAUAUUGGGAAGAACACCGGUGGCGAAGGCGGCUCUCUGGACCGAGACUGACGCUGAGGCGCGAAAGCGUGGGGAGCAAACAGG